rnacentral:rRNA from 1 species
CGUACACUCCUACGGGAGGCAGCAGUGGGGAAUAUUGGACAAUGGGCGCAAGCCUGAUCCAGCCAUGCCGCGUGAGUGAUGAAGGCCCUAGGGUUGUAAAGCUCUUUCACCGGUGAAGAUAAUGACGGUAACCGGAGAAGAAGCCCCGGCUAACUUCGUGCCAGCAGCCGCGGUAAUACGAAGGGGGCUAGCGUUGUUCGGAUUUACUGGGCGUAAAGCGCACGUAGGCGGACUAUUAAGUCAGGGGUGAAAUCCCGGGGCUCAACCCCGGAACUGCCUUUGAUACUGGUAGUCUUGAGUUCGAGAGAGGUGAGUGGCAUUCCGAGUGUAGAGGUGAAAUUCGUAGAUAUUCGGAGGAACACCAGUGGCGAAGGCGGCUCACUGGCUCGAUACUGACGCUGAGGUGCGAAAGCGUGGGGAGCAAACAGGAUUAGAUACCCCUGUAGUCCCAUGAU